GGAUGUGAGGGCGAUCUGGCUGAGACAUCUGUCACCCCAUUGAUGGCUAGGGGUGAUUCGGCUGAUCUGGCUGGUGUCCCCUUCCUCCCUCACCACUCCAUGUGUGUCCCUCCCAAAGCUGUGCAAGAGGACAGCCUUCCCCCAAUAGAGACAGACAGGUCUUCCGUAUAUGAGUAGCUGCUAGAACCUCCAAACAAGCUCUCCAGAAGAGGCAAAUAAAAUAAAUCCUGACUCAAGGGGUAAAAUGAAUAUCAUGAAUGAGCAUACCUAU
ensembl:misc_RNA 7SK 7SK RNA